GCUUCCUUGGCUCAGUCGGUAGAGCGUAGGUCUCAUAAUCCUAAGGUCGUGAGUUCGAUCCUCACAGGGAGCA
rnacentral:tRNA from 2 species